GGCCACAGCCAUAUUAUUCUGCUACACAAGACUAGUUACUCACUGAAGCUAAGAGGGCUGUGCCUGGUUAGUACCUGGAUGGGAGACCACAUGGAAAACUAGGUUGCUGUUGGAA
ensembl:rRNA 5S_rRNA 5S ribosomal RNA